AGUACAAUAAAUAAAGUUAGCAAAAACAAUUGCUAUGACUUAACUACCCAUACUGAUAAAAAAUUUUGCAAAAACACAAACAACGAUGAUAUAUUUGACAGACUCAGAAAAAUUACUAAUUCUUUCAAUAAUGACAGUAAUCACUCAAAUAGUUUUAAUAACAUCUUAUUUAAUGUUUAUAAUAAAAAAAUAAAUAAUUUAAAAAAAAAAAAUUACUUUUCUUAAGUAAAAAUAUUACUUAUUCUAAUUUUCAUCAUAUGUUACUAAAUGAAUAUUAUAUACCUAUACCUAAAUAUAUGAAUAACAAAAUAAAAAUGGACAAAACGAAUUUUCAAUGUACUCCUUCCACUUGUUUUAAAACCCAUUCAAUUGCUUUUUACAAUAAAAAAUUAGUUGAUCUUUAUAACUCAAUAAAAUUUAAUAAAUUAGAAAAUUUCGAUAUGCACAAAUAUAUACUCUUGGAAUAUUUUGAUUUAUUUAAUUUGAAUAUAAAAUUAAAUCACUUUACUAGUUAUAAUGUUAAAGAAGAAGCUAUUUUGAAACAAAAUACAAAUCUAGGUGGUUAUAUGGGUGGAUAUAGAAUAAAUCAUAACUUAAUCAAAAAAUUAGAGGCAAUGUGGCCCAAUAUUGAUGAUUAUUAUAAACACAAGGAGGAUUACACGGAAUUAAUGAAAAAACUAAAAAACAGGGAUAAAGUUACUUUCUAUAGUUAAAUGUAAAUGUUAGCUAGCCAGUUAAUCAGUUAGCGAGUUAUCCAUCUAGCUAUUUGUUACCAAUUUAUAUGUAACACCAUCAUAAAAUUACAUAUGGUGCUACCAUAUGAUAUUGUCGUUCGUAUGUAUACAUAUAUGGUCUUUAUAUAUGUGCUUGAUAUAUUUUUUAUGUAUUUUAUUAUUGUUACGUUUUUUUUUUUUUUUUUUUUUUUUUUUUUUUUUUUUUUUUUUUUUUUUACAAAUAAACGUAAACAAUAUGUACGUUCA
rnacentral:lncRNA from 1 species